AAAUUUUAGAAUAAUUUCAAUAUUUUUACCUUAUAUAAAUUGCAUUGAUUAAUUUUAUAUGAUAAUCGUAGAAAAAAGAAUAUAGCCUAAAAUCAUAGUUUUAUAUACGCGGGAAAUAUAAUUAUUAUGAAGAAAAGAAAAACAAGACGUCAACUUUUGAUAGAAAAAGAAGCUAUUGCAAAAAACUUAGUUGAUAAAGCCAACUCUGUGAAAAAUCCUAUAGAACAUCUACAUUUCUUUCAUAAAUAUAUAACAAAAGAUAAUGAAAUUAUAGAACUUUCUUGUAUGAGAGCCAAAGAUGCAGAUUCUAAAUGUAUAUCUUGGAUAUUUGAUAUUAUGGAGCGUAAUAUGAAAUCUUUAUAUGAACAAAGUAAUUGGGGUUGGGAUCCAAUUGCUAAGCAAAAAGAAUUAACAGAAUCAACAGCUUGGUAUUUAAUUGCAUCAUCUAAUGAUAAAUUUGUUGGAUUUUCUCAUUUUCGAUUUGAUGUUGAUUAUAGAGAAGAAGUAUUAUAUUGUUAUGAAAUACAAUUAGAAUACACAAUACGAAGGAAAGGACUUGGCCAUUUUAUGAUGUUUGCACUUGAAUCUAUGGCAUCAGAAAAUAAGAUGCGUAAAGUAAUUUUAACUGUAUUUAAACAUAAUCCAUCUGCUAUGCAUUUUUUUUAUUCUCUUGGCUAUAAGAUAGAUAAAACCAGUCCACCAGCAUCAGAUCAAUUGGAUUAUAUUAUUUUGAGUAAAGCCGUUGAUAGUGGAACAAUGAAUAAAAAACAAAGUUCAUUUCAGUAAUUCCAUGAUAUUAUUAAAUUCUAUGUCUAAGAUUGUGUCUUAUGUAAUAAAAUUGGUAAUAUUUGAUGUGGACAUAAGUUAACAAUAGGUGAUUUCAAUGAAGGCCCUACAUUAUGGAAUGUCAAAGGAGCUUUACUAAUGAUCCAAUCAUCUAUAUAAUUAAGGAACUUUGUUAAAUCAACUUCUACAGAUUCAGAAACAUUAAAAUGACGAAAGUCGUAACGAAGUGGAGAAAAAUAUGGAUUUAAAUUAAAAGUUAAAGAAUUAUGUGGAUGCAUUGCAAUUAUAGGAUAUAAUAAUUCUUCUGAUGUUAAAUGACCA